UGUCCUGUGGUGCAAUCGGUUAGUGCUUCCGGCUGUUAACCAGAAGGUUGCUGGUUCGAACCCACCCAAGGAUGA